GGAUGAUGGAGAGACUGGUUCUGAUAGUUCUGCUGACAAAUGUUUUCUGCCACGAAAUGGAUGGUGACCACUGGACAGAAGGCAUCCAAGGGAGCAUAGGUUUAAAACCUUUGUGGGCCUGAUGGGGAAACGAAGCUUUGAGGAUCAAGGAGACCAGUGAGCUGCGCGGGAAGAUGGAGGAUCUGCGUUGGUUUUCUUACUUUGUUUAAUCUCAGACUUCUUUGGUCGAUUUGUAAUGUAUCAGAUUGUAUCAUAGUGGCUCUCAUAAUAUUUUAAAAUUCUGUACAUUUAAGCAAACAGCACCUUCCGGUGGUGAGACCAUCACAUUCAAAUGAACGUGUGGAAGCACAUUUCCUACAUUAUGAAUAAAAGGAUCAGGAUGAUGGGGAAACUAUUCUAUUAUCCUUUUAUUUUAAGAUUCAUGGCCUCAAGGUUUCAGAUGGA